GAAAUGCGAUAAGUAAUGUGAAUUGCAGAAUUCAGUGAAUCAUCGAAUCUUUGAACGCACCUUGCGCUCCUUGGUAUUCCGAGAAGCAUGCCUGUUUGAGUGUCAUGGAAUUCUCAACUCUAUUUGCUUUUGUGAAUAGAGCUUGGAUUUGGAGGUUUAUUGCUGGUACUUGUGAUCGGCUCCUCUUGAAUGCAUUAGCUCGAACCUUUGCGGAUCAGCUAUCGGUGUGAUAAUUGUCUACGCCGUUGCAGUGAAGCAUAUCAAUGGGCUCGGCUUCCAAUCGUCCUUUACUGGACAAUGACUUUGACCUUUGACCUCAAAUCAGGUAGGAUUACCCGCUGAACUUAAGC
rnacentral:misc_RNA from 1 species